AUUUUUACACAUUAUUCUUUCUGUGCUGUAGUUAGAGAGUCUAGUUUAAUGACCUGUGUAUGUUUUAGUGCUCCAAACUGUGUGUGUGUUUCUGACUAAAACUGGUCCAUGUGACCAUCAGAAUACAUGUUACAGCUAAUAGACCAAUCAAAUCAGUCCACAGCUUCAAAUCAUCCAAUCAGGUGUGAGUCUGGACCUGGUUUUCUACUGAACACACAAGUUCAUUAGAUCACUUGGUGUGAACAGGAACGAUGAUCAGACUCUUUGUCGCUCUUUGUGCUCUUUUUUCUCUCUUCACAGCUGUGAAAACUUCUGACAUCAAGGAGAUUGAUGUGAUAACAGUAAAGUGUAGAGAAGAUGUAACUAUGGCGUGUAGCACUAACAGUGUCACAAAGAAAGAUGUAGUUUGGUACAGACAGAUUUCAGGAACAUUACCUCAGUUUUUUGCAAAACCAUACAAGGACGAAUUGGGCUACAAAUUUGAUGAAGGAGUUAAUGAUUCUCGUUUCAGUGUUAUUGUAGAUUACAAUAAAUUUGAUCUCAAUAUAAAAAAACAAGAGAAGAUGAUGAAGGAGAAUAUUUCUGUGGUGAAAUGGACAGAACUGUACUGAAGUUCACAUCUGGAACACGUCUGCAAUUUGAAGUCCACAGCUUCAAAUCAUCAAAUCAGGUGUGAGUCUGGACCUGGUUUUGUACUGAAUACACAAGUUCAUUAGAUCACUUGGUGUGAACAGGAACGAUGAUCAGACUCUUUGUUGCUCUUUGUGCUCUUUUUUCUCUCUUCACAGCUGGUGAGUAACUUUCUGAAACUUUAAUGUAAAACAAUAAUAUUUUAUAUUUAAUUCAUUUACUGACAUUUAAUAUUAAACAUUUUUACAGUGAAAACGUCUUACAUCAAGGAGAUUGACGUGAUAACAGUAAAGCGUGGAGAAGAUGUAACUAUGAAGUGUAGCCUUAGCAGUGUCACAAAGAAAGAAGUAGUUUGGUACAGACAGAUUUCAGUAAAAUUACCUCAGUAUUUUGCAAAACCAUACACGAGCGAUUUGGGCUACAAAUUUAUUGAUGGAUUUAAUGUUGAUCGUUUCAGUUUUAUUGUAAAUGACAAUAAAUUUGAUCUCAAUAUUAAACAAACAAGAGAAGAUGAUGAAGGAGAAUAUUUCUGUGGAGAAAUGGAAGGAAGUGUAGUGAAGUUCACAUCUGGAACACGUCUGCAAUUUGAAG